UACGGAGGGGGCAAGCGUUGUUCGGAUUUACUGGGCGUAAAGGGUGUGUAGGCGGCUGGAUAAGUCUGGCGUGAAAUCUUCCCCGCUUAACGGGAAGGGGUCGCUGGAAACUGUUCAGCUUGAGUAUGGUAGAGGCAAGCGGAAUUCCUGGUGUAGCGGUGGAAUGUGUAGAUAUCAGGAAGAACACCGGUGGCGAAGGCGGCUUGCUGGGCCAUCACUGACGCUGAGACACGAAAGCGUGGGGAGCAAACGGG
rnacentral:rRNA from 1 species